rnacentral:rRNA from 1 species
UACGGAGGGGGCUAGCGUUGUUCGGAAUUACUGGGCGUAAAGGGCGCGUAGGCGGCGCGAUAAGUUGGGCGUGAAAGGCCCGGGCUCAACCCGGGGACUGCGCUUGAUACUGUCGCGCUGUGAGUCCGGGAGAGGAUGGCGGAAUUCCCAGUGUAGAGGUGAAAUUCGUAGAUAUCAGGAAGAACACCCGUGGCGAAGGCGGUUCUCUGGGACGGUACUGACGCUGAGACGCGAAAGCGUGGGGAGCGAACAGG